rnacentral:rRNA from 1 species
AUUGAACGCUGGCGGCAUGCCUUACACAUGCAAGUCGAACGGCAGCGGACCUUCGGGUGCCGGCGAGUGGCGAACGGGUGAGUAAUGUAUCGGAACGUACCUUUCAGUGGGGGAUAACGUAGCGAAAGUUACGCUAAUACCGCAUAUUCUGUGAGCAGGAAAGCAGGGGAUCGCAAGACCUUGCGCUGAUUGAGCGGCCGAUAUCAGAUUAGCUAGUUGGUGAGGUAAAGGCUCACCAAGGCGACGAUCUGUAGCGGGUCUGAGAGGAUGAUCCGCCACACUGGAACUGAGACACGGUCCAGACUCCUACGGGAGGCAGCAGUGGGGAAUUUUGGACAAUGGGGGCAACCCUGAUCCAGCCAUGCCGCGUGAGUGAAGAAGGCCUUCGGGUUGUAAAGCUCUUUCGUCCGGGAAGAAAUCGCAUCAGCUAAUACCUGGUGUGGAUGACGGUACCGGAAUAAGAAGCACCGGCUAACUACGUGCCAGCAGCCGCCGCAGUAA